rnacentral:misc_RNA from 1 species
GAUGAAGAACGCAGCGAAAUGCGAUAAGUAGUGUGAAUUGCAGAAUUCAGUGAAUCAUCGAAUCUUUGAACGCACAUUGCGCCCCUUGGUAUUCCAUGGGGCAUGCCUGUUCGAGCGUCAUUUGUACCUUCAAGCUUUGCUUGGUGUUGGGUGUUUGUCCUGAGGGACUCGCCUUAAAGUAAUUGGCAGCCAGUGUUUGGUUUUGAAGCGCAGCACAAGUCGCGAUUCAAAGCUAUACGCCCGCUUCCACAAGCCUUUUUCACUUUUGACCUCGGAUCAGGUAGGGAUACCCGCUGAACUUAAGCAAAUCAAUAAGCGGAGGA